rnacentral:snoRNA from 1 species
ACCCUCUCAGGGUGGCACCUGGAGAGUUUCCAGUCCUCUACCAGUCUCGGCUAGGGGAGGGAGAGUCAGGCAGAGGCCUGUCCAUUCCAUUCCUAGCUUGGCCAGUGGCUAGCGAGUGAAGGCCAUCUGCUACAAGU